rnacentral:rRNA from 1 species
GUGCAGCAGUCGCGAAAACUUCACACUGUGCGAAAGCACGAUGAGGGAAUCCCAAGUGCUUGCACGUAAGUGUAAGCUGUUUCUCUGUUUAAAACGCAGAGAGAGUAAGGGGCUGGGGUAAGACGGGUGCCAGCCGCCCGCGGUAAUACCUGCAGCUCAAGUGGUGACCGUUAUUAUUGGGCCUAAAACGUCCGUAGCCGGUUUAAUAAAUGCCUGGGUAAAUCGUGUAGCUUAACUAUACGAAUUCCGGGUAGACUGUUAAACUCGAGACCGGGAGAAGUUAGAGGUACUCCUGGGGUAGAGGUGAAAUUCUGUAA